CCAGCCUCUCCCAGAAAGAGUAUCACUGUCCCAGACUCCAUGUCCAGGCUCUGCUAGUUUUUUUUUUUUUUUUUUUUAAAUUGGCUUUAAGACUUACAAGGUGUUAAAGGUAUAUUUGCCAAACAAAUGUAUGAAAAGAAAGAAACAAAACAUCAAGCCCUCCACUUCACUUGAAGAAGGAAGUCCACUAGCUCCAUGGACCCCAGGGACGUGCUGAGAGAAAUCCACAGAGAUCUGAAGGCAAAUAGCUGAGCAUAGGCGUAGGGGGCUGUUGGGAGCCGUGGCACUGUCAAGUCAUCAGACGCGGUGAUUGCGAGGCCUGUGGGAAAGUACAAAAGCCUGGGCUAGAUUACCCCUCUCAUCGAGCCCGCCUGUGUGGCACCUGUUUCUUAUCACCCCACUAAGUUCCCGCCUCACAGGGUAGUCUGCCUAGCUAUUAAUCCUAUAUAUAGCCAGUGCCUCCACCCCCGAGAGAGAGAGAGAGAGAGAAGCACGAAAGGAGCCGCGGGGAGCGGACCAGAGGAGGCUUCGGAGCGAAGCACAAAAGGAGCCGCGGGGAGCGGACCGGUAGAGGCUUCGGGGCAGGCUGUACGCGGAGAAGGAAAAUAAAAGAAAAGGUUGUCCACCGCCAGACUUUGUCGUGUGUCCUUCCUGCCGGCCGGGAGCUCGGACACCGACAUUUGGUGGCCCGCCCGGGGAUUGAUCAACCCCGAGACGCGGUGGUGGACUGCAUUCUCCUACACAGUGCUGCAGCUGCAGGACAGGAAUCGGGACGAGAGCCAAUGUGGGUCCCAGAGAGGUUGACGCGACAAGUCCCUCGACUGAAGAUCAGGCCUGUUCCACCAGAGGCCAACCGCAGACCCAACAACAAGAUGAGCCCUAAAAGAACUGCAGGACAAUCCCUUUUUGGGGGCCUGGAACGGCUUGCUCCCCUAUGUGCUACCCUUGUAUACGCAUGGCUCGCUCGCAUGGCCUACGACCGCGUUUAAAAGUGACAGGCUUCCCACAUUCUCCUCCCUAGACAACAACAUGUAGCAGGGUGGAUGAGUCAAUGACGGGUAAGAGCGUGCCUCCCCAGCACGACUCAACCUAAGCCAGGCCCUACCCCGUUCCGCUCGAAAGCCGCUGGAUUGUUAGAUAAAUUUCUCUCCGAGGGGAUUCGUGGAGAGAAAUGAGUGCAUGCCUAUGUGCAACCAGGUUCCGUCCGGUUCAUUCCUGGCCCUAGAAAAAAGGACGAGGGCCUCAGGGCCUUGGUGGACCCUGGGACGGCCGACCAGGGUCUACGCUAAGGGCCUACGGUGGGCCUCAGUUCAGGGCAUAGGCCUCUGCACUCUAUCCAGGACGGGCUGCGAUGCGCGUAUUCAUUUAAAAUAAAAUAGGGGGAGAUGUUGGGAGCCGUGGCACUGUCAAGUCAUCAGACGCGGUGAUUGCGAGGCCUGUGGGAAAGUACAAAAGCCUGGGCUAGAUUACCCCUCUCAUCGAGCCCGCCUGUGUGGCACCUGUUUCUUAUCACCCCACUAAGUUCCCGCCUCACAGGGUAGUCUGCCUAGCUAUUAAUCCUAUAUAUAGCCAGUGCCUCCACCCCCGAGAGAGAGAGAGAGAGAGAAGCACGAAAGGAGCCGCGGGGAGCGGACCAGAGGAGGCUUCGGAGCGAAGCACAAAAGGAGCCGCGGGGAGCGGACCGGUAGAGGCUUCGGGGCAGGCUGUACGCGGAGAAGGAAAAUAAAAGAAAAGGUUGUCCACCGCCA